CCCUUAGAUGUCCUGGGCCGCACGCGUGCUACACUGACGCCUACAGCGAGUACUUCCCAGCCCCGAGAGGCGGCUGGUAAUCAGCAAUAGGCGUCGUGAUGGGGAUAGAUCUUUGGAAUUCUGGAUCUUGAACGAGGAAUGCCUAGUAAGCGCAGGUCAUUAGCCUGCGCUGAUUACGUCCCUGCCCUUUGUACACACCGCCCGUCGCUCCUACCGAUUUCGAGUGGUCCGGUGAAUCUUUCGGACUGCGCGCAGCUUCGUGCCGUGUCGCGGAAAGUCAGGUAAACCUAAUCACUUAGAGGAGGGACAAGUCGUAACA
rnacentral:rRNA from 1 species